rnacentral:rRNA from 1 species
CACGCCGUAAACGAUGGAUGCUUGUCGUUGGAAGAGUAAACCCUUUCAGUGACGGAGCUAACGCGUUAAGCAUCCCGCCUGGGGAGUACGGUCGCAAGAUUAAAACUCAAAGAAAUUGACGGGGACCCGCACAAGCAGUGGAGUAUGUGGUUUAAUUCGACGCAACGCGAAGAACCUUAUCCUGGUCUUGACAUACAUUAGACGGUUCUCAGAAAUGAGGCCUUUUCCGCAAGGAAACUGAUGUACAGGUGC